CUUUUAAUUUUUAUAGGCUGUUGAAGACCAGAAAUUGAUAUAUUCAGGAAGAUUACUACAUGAUCAUUUGAAGCUGAAAGAUAUUCUUCGUUACGACGAGAAAGGUCCUCACAUUUUACAUCUUGUGUGUAAUACCAAGCAGUCUUUAGUAACACCUUUGACAAGUACUGUUAAGGAGACUCAGAACUGUGCACACCCAUUUCCUUCUACAAGCUCAUCUAAUGAAGAUGGAUUAAGACAUAGGACAGGCAUGCAACAAACAAAUCAAAAGUAAACUUUUUAUUUUCUUAUAACUUAA